UAGCUUGAGUUUAGUGUAAUAAAAUUCAUUACAUUUCAUUUAAAUAUAUUUUUUUAUUUGAUUUCAUUUAAUAUUUUGUUAUCACUCUUAUUUUUAAUUGCAUAUGCUCUUCUUCUUCCUCUAAUUCUUCUUCUACUUCUAGUUCUUCUUCUUCUUCUAGUUCUUCUUCUUCUUCUUCUUCUUCUUCUUCUGGUUCUUCUUCUUCUUCUAGUUCUUCUUCUUCUUCUUCUUCUUCUUCUAGUUCUUAUUCUUCUUCUUAUUCAUCUUCUUCUUCUUCUUUUUCUUCUUCUAGUUCUUCUUCUUAUUCUUCUAGUUCUUCUUCUUCUUCUUUUUCUUCUUCUUCUUCUUAUAGUUCUUGCAUAAAAAAGGAAGCAGUUUUGAUACAUGCAUUGUCAUCCAAAGUUAACGUGUAUACAAAAUUUUAGCUCAAUCUGUUGAAGAUA
rnacentral:misc_RNA from 1 species